AUUGAACGCUAGCGGGAUGCUUUACACAUGCAAGUCGAACGAGUGGCGGACGGGUGAGUAAUAUAUCGGAACGUGCCCAGUAGCGGGGGAUAACUACUCGAAAGAGUGGCUAAUACCGCAUACUAUUGCAGCGGCCGAUAUCGGAUUAGCUAGUUGGUGGGGUAACGGCUCACCACGGCAACGAUCCGUAGCGGGUUUGCGAGGACUACCAGCUACAGUGGAACUGAGACACGGCCCAGACUCCUACGGGAGGCAGCAGUGGGGAAUUUUGGACAAUGGGUGAAACCCUGAUCCAGCCAUCCCGCGUGUAUGAGAAGGCCUUCGGGUUGUAAAGUACUUUGGGCAGGGAAGCGGUAUCUGCUGAAUAAGCACCGGCUAACUACGUGACAGCCGCCGCGGUAAUAC
rnacentral:rRNA from 1 species